AGUUCGAGCUUUUGAACCAUUUUUUAUUUGGUCUAAACUGUGUUUCGGAAGAAACGAUUGUGCCGCGCCAAGGAUAUCAUCACAAUUUUUAAAUACACCCAAUAUUGACACCGAAUUCAAUAAUAUCUUAGCCGUUCCUAUCACACCGAAACUCCAUAUAUGCACGUCCCCCCAUCCAAUAUGCAAUUAAUUCGAGAGCGGCUCUUUGCACUUAAGUACUAUGUUCGGCCUUGUCCUUUAGUUUGGAGUGCUCACAUGUCAAUGUACUGCCCAAUGUCGUAAGGGUCGAAGUCGCUUUGGACACGAUAAGGGUUGUAGAUAUAUACAGGGUUGCGAAGCUCGGGAUUAAAUAGAGUAAAAUAGCCAUUGUCGUCAGGAGCGAUAGGAAAUUCGUUCAUAGCAGUUCGUAAUUCCUGGUCAAAAUCCUCUGCGGUAUAGGGGUUUGGAUUUACACACUCAAAAUUGCCCUGAAGAUGCAUGAUGCUGUUGACAUUAAGGGCAGCGUCACUGUUUGGUUCUGACCCAAUGCCAGAAGAGCUUAUGGCAAGGCUCUCGGCGCUUCCUGUCUCAGUAUCAAUGACGAGAUUCGGAUUCGCCGUUGCAAGUUUAGGCGAGCCGUUAUGAGCCGUUCGAGGCCUGGGCGAACUGGCUGUAUUUUGUUGGCAGAGGUUACUUGAUUGGGGGUAAUGACCA
rnacentral:sRNA from 1 species